CAAUUGAACCAUUGACAGCACUGAAAUUGAAUCACACUAAUUUCACAUGACACAGAAUAUGAUUUCCUCAUGUAAAAUUCUGUCAUUUAUGAUGCUUCUUUUUAUUUACAUCAUAUGUGAUGCAAUUUCACAACUUUUUCCCAGACCCUCAAAAUAAAUUGAAUUCUUAAAAGCACUGAAUUAGAAACUUCUUAAAAUUACACGACACAGAAUGCUAUAUAAAGACAUUGAAUUAAAAUUCAAUAAAUAUUACAUGACACUGAACGUGAUAAUGCCAUGUAAAAUUUGGACUGUCAAAACCAAACACAAAUAAAUUCAGUUGAGGCGUGUUUCCGGAGGACUUCGAGAAGCUAUAAGACAACUGGUGCGAUUCUGGGAGUGACCCAAGUUCCCUAAUUGGAUAUGUAAUAAAAUCAAAUACCAAACCAAUACGAGCACGAAUAAAAUAUUACUGGGCAUAUGAUCUCGAUAACGAUGCUAUCGGAACAGUUGGAAGAAGAAAAAGUUCAACACCGCAAAGUUUCGUCGCGUUUUAAUUCCGCCGACCCGGAAUACAUUUGCUGAACCGGUAACAUCUUCCCAUCAGCUUUGGUUGUAGUUGCUUCUUCUGUUUUGCACUUGAAAAGAACAGAACGCAAAUUAUUGUUUCGAGUGUUGGUUUCCGGAUCCAGCUGGAGAAUGUGUACUGCAGUCCACUGCCGGUGGUUGUGCUGGAGAUAAUAUCCCAGCAAUGAGUUGCGUAUUCUGACCACAACUUUCAUCAAGCUUUCAGUAGAGCUGUCCCAAGUAAUACAAUAUGGUCCAAAACAGAAAACAUAUACGCUGCUUAUUUGAGGUUUCCUCCACACAUAAAAUUUGUGAAACACGAAUUAGGCAGACCAGUCUCUACCCCGUGGCGUCGGAAAUUGGUGUCCAAGCGUCGAAAAUGGGCGAAGCAUCUGGAAUUAACUUUCAAGGAGGGGGAAGAUGGUCGUCCACGGACAUUUUAAGGGCAACAAAUAAUCAUCCAGCGAGAGAAAGCCAAUGGAACGGCUCAUUGCCAAUAAUGCCGGCAAUUUCCUCCUCGUGUACCUAGCUUUCUUAAGCCGUUGGGUAAGCUAAGAUUCUAUGAAGCAUUUAAUUUUCCAACUGUCGUGAUAUUUCAAGUGGAGUGAAAAUUUGAACUAAAUGCAAUCAGAACAAGGAAAACUAAGCAUCAUUAUACAUGGGGCAAAUUAUGGUUAUUAUUCGACAACCAUCCAAUUUGAUUGUUAAUGUCUGGUAUGAGGAAUUUAAAGAUGUGU